GCGACCCCAAGGUCAAGGCGGAAUUACCA
rnacentral:rRNA from 1 species